GACGAACGCUGGCGGCGUGCCUAACACAUGCAAGUCGGACGGAAUGGAGCAGCUUGCGUCGGGUGAUAGAGUGGCGAACGGGUGUGAAACACGUGUGUACCAUGCCUUUGACUUUGGUAUACCUUCAGGAGAGUGAGGAUACUACCGGAAAAGCGCACCUGAUGCAUGGUGAGGGUUGGAAUGUUUAGGCGGUUGGGGAUGGACUCGCGGAUAAUCAGCAUGUUGGUGGGGAAGUGGCUUACCAAGGCUUUGACGGGAAGCCGGCCUGAGAGGGUGACCUGCCACAUGGGGACUGAGCUACGGCCCGGACUCCUACGGGAGGCAGCAGUGGGGAAUAUUGCACAAUGGGCGGAAGCCUGAUGCAGCAACGCCGCGUGCGGGAUGACGGCCUUCUGUUUGUAAACCACUUUCGCCUGUGACGAAGCGUGAGUGACGGUAAUGGGAAAAGAAGCACCGGCUAACUACGUG
rnacentral:rRNA from 1 species